rnacentral:rRNA from 1 species
UACGGGGGAGCAAGCGUUGUUCGGAUUUACUGGCGUAAAGGCGCGUAGGCGGCCAGCACAAGUCAGUUGUGAAAUCUCCGAGCUUAACUCGGAAAGGUCAACUGAUACUGUGCGGCUAGAGUGCGGAAGGGCACUGGAAUUCGUUGGUGUAGCGGUGAAAUGCGUAGAUAUCGAGGAGGAACACCGGUGGCGAAGGCGGAUCUCUGGGCCAAUUACUGACGCUGAGGAGCGAAAGCGUGGGGAGCGAACAGG